rnacentral:rRNA from 1 species
UACGGAGGGUGCAAGCGUUAUCCGGAUUUAUUGGGUUUAAAGGGUCCGUAGGCGGAUCAUUAAGUCAGUGGUGAAAGCCGGCAGCUCAACUGUCGAACUGCCAUUGAUACUGUAGUUCUUGAAUAUAGUCGGAGUAGGCGGAAUGUGUAGUGUAGCGGUGAAAUGCUUAGAUAUUACACAGAACACCGAUAGCGAAGGCAGCCACCUGGGUCAACACUGACGCUCAUGUACGAAAGCGUGGGGAGCAAACGGG